rnacentral:rRNA from 1 species
AUUGAACGCUGGCGGCAGGCCUAACACAUGCAAGUCGAGCGGAUGAAGGGAGCUUGCUCCUGGAUUCAGCGGCGGACGGGUGAGUAAUGCCUAGGAAUCUGCCUGGUAGUGGGGGAUAACGUCCGGAAACGGGCGCUAAUACCGCAUACGUCCUGAGGGAGAAAGUGGGGGAUCUUCGGACCUCACGCUAUCAGAUGAGCCUAGGUCGGAUUAGCUAGUUGGUGGGGUAAAGGCCUACCAAGGCGACGAUCCGUAACUGGUCUGAGAGGAUGAUCAGUCACACUGGAACUGAGACACGGUCCAGACUCCUACGGGAGGCAGCAGUGGGGAAUAUUGGACAAUGGGCGAAAGCCUGAUCCAGCCAUGCCGCGUGUGUGAAGAAGGUCUUCGGAUUGUAAAGCACUUUAAGUUGGGAGGAAGGGCAGUAAGUUAAUACCUUGCUGUUUUGACGUUACCAACAGAAUAAGCACCGGCGAACCUCG